AAAUAGUACCAAAAUAGUACCAAAACAGUACCAAAAUAGAUUAUAAUAAAUUAUAUAUGAAAAAUUCUCAUUGAUAGGAGUUAGAGGGGAGAUUCCACCCUAGCAGUGAAUACUUUCUCCUUACACUGGAGAGUUGUAUGUAAUAGGGGAAACAAUCUAAGGGUCUUUCUGAAUGGGGAAUGGCCUGGGUAAGUAAACUGUAAUCAGUCAGAGGUUAAAUUACUGUACUGGUGUUCAAAGGAAAAAACUGCAAUCUGUGGUCACUUGAUAGGUUUUUAAAAUGUAAUGCUAAAGGGUAAUUGCAAGUGGUAGGGAUAUUUAAGUAAGCAUUAGAUCCAUGUGCAAAAAAACAACUGUGUUUCAUACAGAUAUAUGUAUAUGAUUAUAUUUUUAAAGGUUCUUUAGGAGCCAUUCCAAAUUCCUAAUUACAUGUGGGAAAGGAUGUGUUGGGUAGAUAAAGGAUUGGCAGGUUGGUCAGAGGACACUUUGGCUCUGUCCGUGAUACACACUCAUGUUUUAUUUGAUAACCAAAUGUUGCUCUCAUUUCGUAUGUUGUAAAUCGUCGAAGUACUGUGUGCACACAUCAAAGUGUGCUCAUUUAAAUACAUUCACGGGAUGUGACUGGCUUAUCUCUGCACGGCCACUACAGGGUGUACGGUGCUCUGCUGCUCACAAGUUUUGUACCUCCCAAACGGUUUCUCUGCUCCCAGCCUAGGUUAGCCAGAGCUCUGCUUUUGGUUACUACCAACUAGAUUUCUCUUCCUACAGCUCUUGGCAGUGGGAUGUUCCGGGGUGAGCUUUGCCCUCUUUCACACGGGGAUGUUUUAUGUUUAUUUUUUGUCUUUGAGCCCAGGUUGGCUGUGAAUUUGAAUUCUGUGUCAGCCUUCCAAGUGCUGGGAUUAUAGGCAUAUCGACCAUGCUUGGUGACUCCAGGUUUUUGGUAUUGAUCCUGUGGUGUACGUUGGUAGUGUAUUCCUUAUUGUCGGUGGACACUACGUUCUGCUUUAUCUAGAACGUUCAGUUGAGUCCAGUGCAUUAAGUGUUAAGCAUCCCCCACUUAAAUUAGCACUAGCUUGGAUAUUUAAAACCCAGUUAAGGAGUUCACUUCCAAACAGAAGCAGAAUCUUCCUUAAAUAAAUAGUUGACGGAGAUUGAUUGGCUUUUCAUCAGGUUGACAAGUUAGGGUUUGUGCACAAGAGAUGGGCUCAGCUCUGCCUUUUUGGUUUUCUAAUAUGUGCUUUUGCUGUGUAGUCCAAGCUGGCCUUGAACUCAACAGCAGUCCUCCCUCAGUCCAUCAAGUGGUGGGCUACAGCUGUGCCCACUACACACAGCUGUUCUUCAUGUCAGGAGUGACGGCUUUUUAAUGCUCAGGUCCACUGAACUCAACUCCUGUAUGUAUGGAAUCGAGGUUCAGAGCAUCCUCUCUCUGGUAACGGCAUCAGACCUUGUGUGUGCUAAGCCUGAGGUUUUCCACAACAGCACUUGUCCCUGAGAUUAAAAACCCAGUGCUGGGUAGAUAAUUUAGUCAAGUCCUCGCCAUGUUGAGUCCAUCCCAGAACCCAUGUCAAAAAAUCCAAGCGUGGUGGCGCCUGUUUAUAAUCUCAGCUCCAGGGAAGCAGAGAUAGGUGAAUGCCUGGGCUUUGCUGGCCUGCCAGCCCAGCUUACAUGGUCAGCUCCACAUCCACUGAGAGACUGAACAAAAGACAAGGUCCAUGGUUCCUGGAGCUUGACCUCUGACCUCCACAUGCGUGCACAUACAGAAUACAAGGACUUAGGAGUCAGUUAAACUUAAUAAUACAGAAUUGCUGUUUCUGUGAGUCAAGACCGUACAAAUUCUUAGCAGUGUAAUAUUAUAUGCUCAACUUAUUUUUUAAAAAAAUUAUGAUUUCUACGAAUUGGGAGAAACUGAAGAAUAAGAUUGGAUCACUUACUUAGAUACUUUUCAGAAAAAAUAAAAUAAGUGGGAAGGGGUGGUGUGGAGGAACUGGUGCGGAGAACAGGACAGAGAAAGGGAAAGAGCUAAGAUGUAAUUAAAGCUCCCCACAGUCUAGGGCUCCAAGCACACAGUCAGCUGCUGAAAAUGGAAUGCAGACGUAGAUGACAUGAGAUCAAGAAAUGCUUGGACCAGUCUUCGUACUGUUUGUGCUUCUGACUGCUAUGUUAUGGGCCACUUGAGAGCGGGGCUUCCACAACUGUAGCUCCUGUGGCCAGCAUCCGGUGGCUGUCCAUCUGUUAUUUUAAACAGGAGCAUCUUCAGACCCAGCAUCUAGCACUGACUUACGCUUUGCUGCUGUUAGUCAUUACUAUAGCAGCCCCUCCCCUAACCCCUUUGUGCACGCUGUGAUUAAACCCAAGGUCUUACACAUACGUUAGGCAAGUGCUUUACCGCCAGUCAUAUCCCAGUAUUUCUUGUUGUUUUAAAGAGUCUCGCUGGGUAGCUCGGGCUACCCGCCAACAUUUCCAGUCUCUCACAAUAUUUUUUUUUCUCCCUGAAUUUUGUUGAAUGCGCUAAGAAUAGUUAAUGCUCACUUGUGUACCUAGUGGCCAACAUUAGUCUGAGGGCACAUGCACAGAAGAUGCUGAGGCAGGAAGAUUGCUUGAACAAAGGGAAACCCGUGGGUGUGGGUGCUGUAUUCUGGGUAACUAGUAUUGUAUUCUUUUCUUAGGAAGGAUGAGGCAAGGUAUGGAUUCCAGUCACAGUAAGGAUUUCUCUGGUGGAAUGAUAAACGCAGACAAAAGUUGGUUUUAGAGCCAGAAGGUGGCAGGUUCCUCAAAUAACUGCUAACCAGAGGCUGGGGCCAAGAGGAUUACUUGAGCUGCAAACGUAGACUAGGCGAUACAGUGAGAUCGUGUCUUUAUUAAACUGAAUUUUAAAAAUACUAACUGUAUAGACUUAAAAAUGCCAAGGGGAUAGCAAGAGUUUAAAAACCAUGUUGUGUAGCAAGAGGUCUGACAGGAAAACUACUGCCUUAAUUAAUGUUUUUUAAUGUGUAGAGGUUUGGGCACAACUUGUACUCAUGUUCCAUGAUUUUCUUGAACAUCCACAGACAUUUGGGAGGGAAAAUAAACUUAACUCUCGUUUUUAAGGAGAGGACAUUGAGAGACCUGGCAAGAGAUAUGUUCAGGAUUAUGCCUGAAGGGCGACCUGAGCAUCGGACACUGAAAUAGCUCCCACUUCCUGUACCCGAGGCUGCUGUGCAGGGGAGGGCCACUCAGCAGGGCUGGCUCGGUUGAGAGAACCCUCGUUAUUCUUGCUCACUCUUCUUGGCUUCCUCAGCAGAUCUCACUAUGUUGCCAACUUGGACUUGCAGUCUUGAUUCCUGUCUCUAGCCUCCUGAGUGGAUGGAGGGGCUGGCUUUGGACAUAUGCCAUUGUGAGCAUGUGCUCACCUGGUGAAAGAAAUAAAGUCUUCAAAAUAUUCCUGGGAGGCAAAGAGAAAAGGCUUUCAGAACAUUUCUGAAAGUCUGGGGCCUAAUGAUCGUCACGGAGCAGAAGUGUUGGGCACGCGGCUUGCAGUGAAUCUGCCGUGAGAACUGCAGAAGGCAGCUGUCCUGUCCUCGUUGAACCCGCCAUGCCAUUGCUUUCUCUAGGAAUUUCACUUUCUCAGCUACCUUGUUAGCCAGCAACUUCAAAAAACCCAUCUGUGUUUUUACCGGGUCAGUUUUGUUUGAGGUCGUAAGCCACACAGGAGAAAAACAGGUUAGCCUUUCUUGUUGAUUCUUUUCCGGGCUAUUGAGGAACAAAUGAACCGUUUUUUAUAUUCCCCCUUGUUCAAGGUGGUGAUACUAGGCACCUACUGGGCAUCAGGGAGAGCCCUAGGUCCUCUGCAUAAGUUCCUUGGGGCUUGAUCAACACUGAUCUCACAGAGAUUAGCCAUUUUCCUUCAAAAAUGGCUGAUCAGGGGCUGAGAGGUAGUUCAGGGAUUAAGAGCACCGGCUGCCUUUGAGAGGGUCUGAGUGCAAGUUUCAGCACCCAAGUAGCAGCUCACAACUGUCCGUAACUGUCACUUCCAGAGGAUCUGCCACCCUGGCACGGAUGCAGUCAGAACACCAAUGCCCAUAAAAAUAAAUCUUGAGAAGAAAUGAAAAAGAAAAAGGGGUUCUCAACAAGGCUGGCUCUUUUGUGCCACUGUCUUGUCCCUUCAGCACAUGGCCUGGCUGGUUCCUCUCUGCGCAUCCCCCAUGUUGUAAUGCAACCUUAGCUGGCUCUCAUCUCAACAGUACCAUGCUAUCUGACCUUUGCAACAACCAGAAUCACAAGCCAGAUUUUUACUUUCUGUGUAGUCCCAGCCUCUGGCGUUUUGUGGCAGUAACAGACUAACAGAACGUCCUUUUUCUUAGUUGAGCAAUUUACUGCUAUUAAGCAGAUGGACUUUUCCACCAAGCAUAACAUUCGUGUUUUUCCUGACUUGUAGUAUCUCCCACUUCCUUUAAAUAGAUGAUGCUGAUUUUCCAGUCCUACCCAAACAUCUGCAUAGUCACACAACUUACUUAUUUUACCAAAAUCUGUAGCAUGCAGUUAACCCUGACCGGGUAUAACCUUACUCCCUAGAUUGUGUACUUUUCUAGUUUGGAUGCUCUACACUCCAAAGGCCAGCAUGUUAAAGGCCUUCCUAUACGGCUCAUGGUGCUAUUGGUAGGGGUAGAACCUUUUAAGAGGUAGGGCUAGAUGAAGUUAGGCUAGGAAGUGUGCCUUUGAAGGAGGUAUUGGGAGCCUGGCCCAUCCCUGUUUUACUCUUUGCUAAAGCAGUGGGGCCAAACAGUCAUGGACUGAAAGCUCUGAAUUUAUAAGCUAAAAUAAAGCAGUUGUCCUUUGCUGACGUUGAUUUCCUCAGGUGUUUUGCUACAUUAAUGGGGAAGCCAGCAAGCAAAUAACUUAACAAACAAGCCUUUUGAGAAAAGGGACCAUUUGAUUUUUUUUUUUUUUUUUUUUUUUUUUUUUUACUAUUUAGGGGCUGGAGAGAUGGCUUGUUGGUUAAGAAAACCUACUGUUCUCUCCUGAGGACCAGGCUUCAGUUCCUAGCACCCACGUGUUGGCUUAUGACCAUUCAGGACUCCAGUCCCAGGAGAUCUUUAUCCCUUUUCUGACCUCUGACAUCAGUUUUCCUGAUCCCAUCCUCCUGAGCACACAGAGGAAGACCUGAGCUAUCCUUUUUUUCUGCAGCAAUGCAGGCACUCCAUCUGUUUAGCCAGCUCUGCACCUCCAUUGGGUGAGUGACCUGCUCCUAACAGGUAACAGGCACCCCUUGUAGGUGCUACUUUUUAACUAUUUUAUUUGGGGUUCCUUAAGCCUCUACGUCCCUUCCAACCCCCAACCCUAGGUAGAAGAGAAAGAAAGUUAGAUGGGAAAGGGACGUAGGUCUCUUUAGACUUAGUUCUGGCUGGUGAGGGUGGUCGGGUUCUUCGGGACAAUAACAAUCUCGGUCAUUAGGACCGAGCCUUCUUCCUUUUCUGACUGUCUCCUCAAAGCCUCUUUCAGAAUUAAACUAUCUGCAGCUGGCAAAGACUACGCCCCUCUCUGAGGCCUACGAGGUAAUUAUCAGCUGUGGAUGACCAGAAGCAGCCCCAUAUCCCACACUUGGGAUUAAAACAAAAAACCUGUUUACGUAACAUAACCGAGUCUUUAGAGCAACCAAAACUUGGACUACGCCCCCUGCUGUUUGAAGGUAGGUAUGAGCACAGGCCACACCAUUGCUUUUGACAGUGGUGAGUGAAGAUCUCGAGAAACCUCCAAGGCAGGAGGCUAGUUAGCUCUAAGGUCACAGUGAGGCUCUUCCCGGUGGCCUAGGCACCUCAAUGUGUGCUUCUAAGCAGUGGCUGGCCAGCCAGCUAGUGUUUCUUGUGGGUGGAGAAGGGACCACCAGUCUUUAGUCACGGUGGCCCUACUGUGAGCUCCUCCUCAACUCUUCAGACUGCUUCCUCCUGUAGUCCUAGUUCUCCUUUCGUAUCUGAAUGAAAAAAAGAAAGAAAAGGACACAACUGCUGCUAGGUACGAGGAGGAAGGAAACUGUUUAUUGUAGGUAAGAGGGAGAGCUUAGCCAGAGGCAGAGACAUCUGAAAGAGUCCAAAGUGGACGUGACCAGGAUGAGCUGGGCUAAGUGGGGAGAGGAGCAAGGAAAGAGAGAGGGGAGAAAGGGAAACCAGCUGCAGCAGCCCAGAAGGCAAAGAUACAAAAGGAUAGGUAAUCAGAAUGCUGAAUUAUACAGGGUAGAGCCUCCUGGGGCAGGGCGGCCCAGCCCCUGGGCUGGAGUGUAGGGUAGGGGGCAGAGUCGGCCAGACACACCCUGUAACAGGUAGGGACUGAGGGGUGCUGGAGGGACCUGGAGUCUAGAUCUAAUGUGACAGGUUAAAUAGGCACCUCAGCUUUGGUCCCAGGGCUUGACACUUAACAAAUCCAAAUUCUGCAUGUGAAAAACAUGCAUUUAUCUUUCUGCUUCCUGUUUAUUUCAUUUGCUAUAAUAGUCUCUAGUUUCAACCAUGUUUUCUGCAAAAGACAUAAGUUACAGCUGAAUUAAACUCCGCUAAUAUGUGUGUGGCUCAUCUUUCUUUAUUGGUCUACACUGGCUGCAUCUUGGCUAUUGUGAAUACUUCAAGAAUGAACACAGAUAUGCAAAUAUCUCUGUGAUAUUCUGACUUCUAUUCUGUCAGGCAUACAAUCAGAAGCAGUUCCGCUGGGUCGUGUGGUAGUUGGCAUCUUUGAAGAGCCUCGGUACUUACACAGUAGCCAACUAGAUCACAUUCUCACCAGCGGUGGAUAAACACCCCACCUUGUCUUCAUAGCUGUUUUGAGUGGGGUGAGACAAAGGUUAAUAUAUUCAAUUUGUAUUUCCCCAAUGCUAAGGAGGUUAAACAUUUUCCUCUGUAUUUUCUGCUAUUUGUAUUCCUUUUUGGGGAAUGAGACUAUUAAUAAUUUUUAAUGUUCAGUUAUUGUCCAUUUGUAGGUUGGCUGAUUUUGUGUUGUGUGUGUGUUUUACUUUGUAGAUUCUAGAUAUUAGUCUCAGGUGGACGCCCAGAUGUUUUCCCAUCCUGUAGACCAUGCGUGUCUAAUCCUGAGCCACAUGCAGCCCGGGACAGGUGUGAAUGUGGGGUAACACAGAUCUUAAAUUUAUUUCAAACAUUGUGAGAUCUAAAAAUUAAAAAUUAAAAAUAAUUUCUCAAGA